GGUUGUUAUUUGUGCUGGAGCUUGUAUUUGUGUGUUUCUUAACUCACAGCGUUUCCCAGCCACCUCGCUCCCGUCCGGCCCCAGCAGCACUCUGGUGGGCACCAGGGCGCCAACCCACGGCGAUGCCCAGGUCUGUGCUCCUUGGCAAGCCCAGGGAGGACACGUGGUUGGCAUCCCACAGCCAGUCCGUGAAGGGACAUGAUUGCAGGAGGCUGGUAUCUCUGAUCUGACGUUUUGGCUGAGACC